ensembl:lncRNA
UCUAACUAUGUGAAAAAAAUCAAAUUGGAGUAGGUCGGGCAACUGAUUAUAUGAGUUUGUUAGAAAAACCACUUUCCUUUGCUCCUAGCGCCUUCUCGUUCGCUGUAUAGCGUUUUGAGCGGAUAAAGAGCACAAGUGUGUAAGGGGACACAGGAUGAAUGCGAACUAGUUUUGUUAUGGUACUUUUGAUGAAAAGUGACUGUCUAGACAUAAAAUGUCACUUUUUUCACCUUAUCAUACUUUUUCAUCAACUUUUGCAUUUUAAUGUAAACAAUCAUAUUUCGUAAUAUUUUGGGUCAGAAACAUUUCAUAGUACUAUAUUAUGUCUAACUAUGUGAAAAAAAUCAAAUUGGAGUAGGUCGGGCAACUGAUUAUAUGAGUUUGUUAGAAAAACCACUUUCCUUUGCUCCUAGCGCCUUCUCGUUCGCUCUAUAGCGUUUUGAGCGGAUAAAGAGCACAAGUGUGUAAGGGGACACAGGAUGAAUGCGAACUAGUUUUGUUAUUGUACUUUUGAUGAAAAGUGACUUUCUAGACAUAAAUGUCACUUUUUUCACCUUAUCAUACUUUUUCAUCAACUUUUGCAUUUUAAUGUAAACAAUCAUAUUUCGUAAUAUUUUGGGUCAGAAACAUUUCAUAGUACUAUAUUAUGUCUAACUAUGUGAAAAAAAUCAAAUUGGAGUAGGUCGGGCAAAUGAUUAUAUGAGUUUGUUAGAAAAACCACUUUCCUUUGCUCCUAGCGCCUUCUCAAUCGCUCUUUAGCGUUUUGAGCGGAUAAAGAGCACAAGUGUGUAUGGGGACACAGGAUGAAUGGGAACUAGUUUUGUUAUUGUACUUUUGAUGAAAAGUGACUUUCUAGACAUGAAAUGUCACUUUUUUCACCUUAUCACACUUUAACAUCAACUUUUACAUUUUAAUGUAAACAUUCAUAUUUCGUAAUAUUUUGGGUCAGAAACAUUUCAUAGUACUUUAUCAUGUGUAACUAUUUGAAAAAUAUCAUAUUGGAGUAGGUCUGGCAAUUGAUUAUAUGAGUUUGUUAGAAAGAACACUUUCCUUUGCUCCCAGC